rnacentral:rRNA from 1 species
GACGAACGCUGGCGGCGUGCCUAAUACAUGCAAGUUGAGCGCUGAAGGUUGGUACUUGUACCAACUGGAUGAGCAGCGAACGGGUGAGUAACGCGUGGGGGAUCUGCCUUUGAGCGGGGGACAACAUUUGGAAACGAAUGCUAAUACCGCAUAAAAACUUUAAACACAAGUUUUAAGUUUGAAAGAUGCAAUUGCAUCACUCAAAGAUGAUCCCGCGUUGUAUUAGCUAGUUGGUGAGGUAAAGGCUCACCAAGGCGAUGAUACAUAGCCGACCUGGGAGGGUGAUCGGCCACAUUGGGACUGGGACACGGCCCAAACUCCUACGGGAGGCAGCAGUAGGGAAUCUUCGGCAAUGGACGAAAGUCUGACCGAGCAACGCCGCGUGAGUGAAGAAGGUUUUCGGAUCGUAAAACUCUGUUGGUAGAGAAGAACGUUGGUGAGAGUGGAAAGCUCAUCAAGUGACGGUAACUACCCAGAAAGGGACGGCUAACUACGUG